rnacentral:rRNA from 1 species
UAGGGAAUCUUCGGCAAUGGACGAAAGUCUGACCGAGCAACGCCGCGUGAGUGAAGAAGGUUUUCGGAUCGUAAAACUCUGUUGUUAGAGAAGAACAAGGACGUUAGUAACUGAACGUCCCCUGACGGUAUCUAACCAGAAAGCCACGGCUAACUACGUGCCAGCAGCCGCGGUAAUACGUAGGUGGCAAGCGUUGUCCGGAUUUAUUGGGCGUAAAGCGGGCGCAGGCGGUUUCUUAAGUCUGAUGUGAGAGCCCCCGGCUCAACCGGGGGGGGGCAUUGGAAACUGGGAGGCUUGAGUGCAGAAGAGGAGAGUGGAAUUCCAUGUGUGGCGGUGGCGUGCGUAGAUAUAUGGAGGAACACCAGUGGCGAAGGCGGCUCUCUGGUCUGUAACUGACGCUGAGGAUCGAAAGCGUGGGGAGCAAACAGG